AUGAGUUUGCACGGUUGCUGCUGGUUCUUACAAGUGCACGCCGUGUCUUUCUUCAUCCACCCCAAUGUGCAUCUCGGUACGCCUCCGCGCGUAGUCCUUUUAUAACCAUAUACACCUUUGUAAUGUAAAGAACGUGAAAUUUGAAAUAAAAUA
rnacentral:misc_RNA from 1 species